GAUGAACGCUGGCGGCGUGCUUAACACAUGCAAGUCGAACGGAAAGGCCAGUGCUUGCACUGGUACUCGAGUGGCGAACGGGUGAGUAACACGUGGGUGAUCUGCCCUGCACUUCGGGAUAAGCCUGGGAAACUGGGUCUAAUACCGGAUAGGACAAUGGUUUGGAUGCCGUUGUGGAAAGUUUUUUCGGUGUGGGAUGAGCUCGCGGCCUAUCAGCUUGUUGGUGGGGUAAUGGCCUACCAAGGCGUCGACGGGUAGCCGGCCUGAGAGGGUGUACGGCCACAUUGGGACUGAGAUACGGGCCAGAGUCCUACGGGGGGCAGAAGUGGGGAAUAUUGCACAAUGGGCGCAAGCCUGAGGCAGCGACGCCGCGUGGGGGAUGACGGCCUUCGGGUUGUAAACUCCUUUCGCUAGGGACGAAGCGUAUUUGUGACGGUACCUGGAGAAGAAGCACCGGCUAACUACGUG
rnacentral:rRNA from 1 species